ensembl:lncRNA
AUGCGGUUCAAAAUGCCUGCUUGCAACCAUUCUGUCUCUGGUCCCAGAAUCCACUGGGACAAACUAGAUCCACUGGGGGAGGGGAACAACAGCCUGGCAAACACUAUAUUACCCAAGACCACAGGGAACCGCCAAAAGGCUAAACGGAGGGCUGCACAAACACAGCAAGGACCAAGUACAGAGAGCACAAUAAUCCCAAAUAAACAGCUCAAGGGGAGGUCACAGGGGCUUACAUGUCUUUACACCAACGCUCAGAGCAUGGGAAAUAAGCAAGAUGAACUCCAACUCUUAGCACAGCGCCACACAUACGAUGUCAUAGGCAUCACUGAAACCUGGUGGGAUGACUCCCAUCACUGGAAUGUAGUCAUUGAGGGCUAUAACCUCUUUCACAGAAAUAGAACAAAAGGGAGAGGAGGGGGAGUAGCUUUAUAUGUCAAAAACAGUUACGUUGCAGAAGAAAUGCAAGAUUGUAAUCCGGGAAACCAGCUUGAAAGCAUCUGGAUAAGAAUCAAGGGAACCGGGACUCAAAAAGAUCUUGUCGUGGGUGUCUACUACAGACCUCCGAGUCAGGAUGAAGGACUUGAUGAAGCCUUCUGUCAACAGCUGACCAAACAGGCACAAAGAAGAGAUAUAGUAGUCAUGGGCGAUUUCAAUUAUUCCGAUAUCUGCUGGAAAACAAACUCAGCCAAGAGUACAAAGUCCAACAAAUUCCUCACUUGCCUUGCAGACAAUUUUAUGGUCCAGAAGGUAGAAGAGGCAACAAGAGGAUCAGCAACUCUUGAUCUAAUCUUAACAAAUGUGGAAGACCUGAUCAAUACAGUUGAAGUGGUUGGAUCCUUAGGGGCAAGUGACCAUGUGCUCCUGGAGUUUGCAAUACAAAGGAAUGCUGAAACUAAGACAAGUCAAACACGCAUUCUCGACUUUAAGAGAGCUGACUUCCAAAAAAUGAAGGAAUUACUGAGCGGCAUUCCAUGGAUGCCAAUAUUAAAAAACAAGGGAGUUAAGGAUGGAUGGGAGUUUUUCAAAAGUGAAAUACUAAAGGCGCAAAUGCAAACAGUGCCAACAAAGAAGAAAAAUAAGACAAGUGCAAAGAAGCCAGAAUGGAUGUCCAAAGAACUUCUAACUGAGCUAAAGCUCAAAAGUGGCAUGCACAAGAAGUGGAAAAGGGGAGAAAUCACCAAAGAAGAAUUCAAACGUAUAGCCAACACCUGCAGGGAAAAGGUUUGCAAGGCUAAAGCACAAAAUAAGCUCAGGCUUGCCAGGGACAUUAAAAACAACAAAAAAGGCUUUUUUGCUUACAUUGGUAGAAAAAGGAAGAAAAAGGAGGCGAUAGGGCCUCUGCAAGGAGAAGAUGGGGUGAUGGCGACAGGGGACAGGGAAAAGGCAGAACUGCUCAAUGCCUUCUUUGCCUCGGUCUUCUCACAAAAAGAAAGCCAUCUUCAACCUCAGCAACAUGGAAUGGACGAAGGAUUGGGGGAAAUCCAACCCCAAAUAUGGAAACAAGCUGUCCAGGAACACCUGGCCUCUCUAAACGAAUUCAAGUCCCCAGGGCCAGAUCAGCUACAUCCAAGAGUAUUGAAGGAAUUAGCGGAAGUUAUUUCAGAACCACUAGCAAUUAUCUUCGAGAGUUCUUGGAGAACGGGAGAAGUCCCAGCAGAUUGGAGGAGGGCGAAUGUGGUCCCUAUCUUCAAGAAGGGGGGAAAGAACGACCCAAACAAUUACCGUCAGCCUCACAUCAAUACCAGGCAAGAUUCUGGAAAAGAUCAUCAAGGAAGUGGUCUGCGAACACUUAGAAACAAAUGCGGUCAUUGCUAA